rnacentral:rRNA from 1 species
GACGAACGCUGGCGGCGUGCUUAACACAUGCAAGUCGAACGGAAAGGCCCUGCUUUUGUGGGGUGCUCGAGUGGCGAACGGGUGAGUAACACGUGAGUAACCUGCCCUUGACUUUGGGAUAACUUCAGGAAACUGGGGCUAAUACCGGAUAGGAGCUCCUGCUGCAUGGUGGGGGUUGGAAAGUUUCGGCGGUUGGGGAUGGACUCGCGGCUUAUCAGCUUGUUGGUGGGGUAGUGGCUUACCAAGGCUUUGACGGGUAGCCGGCCUGAGAGGGUGACCGGCCACAUUGGGACGGAGAUACGGCCAGACUCCUACGGGAGGCAGCAGUGGGGAAUAUUGCACAAUGGGCGGAAGCCUGAUGCAGCAACGCCGCGUGCGGGAUGACGGCCUUCGGGUUGUAAACCGCUUUCGCCUGUGACGAAGCGUGAGUGACGGUAAUGGGUAAAGAAGCACCGGCUAACUACGUG